rnacentral:rRNA from 1 species
CUACGUGCCAGCAGCCGCGGUAAUACGGAAGGUCCAGGCGUUAUCCGGAUUUAUUGGGUUUAAAGGGAGCGUAGGCCGGAGAUUAAGUGUGUUGUGAAAUGUAGACGCUCAACGUCUGACUUGCAGCGCAUACUGGUUUCCUUGAGUACGCACAACGUUGGCGGAAUUCGUCGUGUAGCGGUGAAAUGCUUAGAUAUGACGAAGAACUCCGAUUGCGAAGGCAGCGGACGGGAGCGCAACUGACGCUUAAGCUCGAAGGUGCGGGUAUCGAACAGGAUUAGAUACCCUGGUAGUCCGCACAGUAAACGAUGGAUGCCCGCUGUUGGUACCUGGUAUCAGCGGCUAAGCGAAAGCAUUAAGCAUCCCACCUGGGGAGUACGCCGGCAACGGUAAAACUCAAAGGAAUUGACGGGGGCCCGCACAAGCGGAGGAACAUGUGGUUUAAUUCGAUGAUACGCGAGGAACCUUACCCGGGCU